CUGGGAUUACAGGCAUGAGCCACUGCACCUGGCCUAAAAUAGAAAAGAUAUUUAACUUCUGUGCUUUAUUCCUCCAGAGACUGAUUAAGAUCUUUGAAUGGAAAAUCCACAGAAACAGAUUUUAGUUCAAUGUGUAUCAUUAGUAUAUUAACAUAAUUUCAUUUGCCAUUUUUGGAGUUGUGGCUUUAAACCAGAGAACAACAUAGAUGUAUUUAACUCUAUUAUUUCAUCUGGCCAUCGCUGUAAACCUUCAGGUACGUAUUAUUAUUCUCAUCUUACAGAUGAAGAAACUGAUGUUCAAAGAGUUUCAAGGUCACUUACUGAGCUGAUAAGAGCUCCUGCGUCUUACUACACAAUUAUUAAACUGUUGUACUGUACUCAGUUACUUCAAAUUAAAAUUAGAAUUAGUCAUUUCAAAUUGUAAUUAGGAAUGUUUAAACUUGACUCAAUACAAGCUUUUCAAAAAAAAAGAAAAACACUUGGCAGGCUAAACCACAUUUUCCUGCUGAUAACUAUUUGACCUUCUCUUGGACCCUGGUCCACAUGCAUUUUGAAUGUUUGAUUUGGGGGUUCAAGCCACCUUCCCUGAAAGUCACACUGAAGCUCUUAUUUUAGAAGUGGGAGGUUAUCAUCCACUCAGCCUCCUUAAUGGCUUUUACGUUACAAAAAGCAUGUUUAUAAUUUCAAUGGAAAAAGCAUAUAUAUAAUUUACCGGUGAAAAAAUGCUUUGAGAUGCUGAUUUGGGAUGCUGUCUCACGGCAGAUAGUCGUUACCUGUAUACUACUAACUCAGUUGGAAGAGGAGUAAGCAAAUUGGGGUCUGGAUUACGUGAUACUCUCAGGUCAGUUGCCUGGAACUUCCUAAAUGAUUUAGAUGGAACAUUUUCCUCCUUACGUAAAUCUCUGUGAAGAAGAGACUGGGGGGUACAUUCCAACUCCCCAUAGACGAGUAACUAAAUAACAAGUCUGAACUAACUCAAAUAAUUCCAGUCUUCUCUUACUGCCACCUCUCCCAUCUUGUUUUGUUAAGCAUUCUAGCUUUAUUUUGGCUCUGAAGACUUUGGUAGCCCUAAGAUCAUUGUUUCCAGCCAGAAAGUCCUCUGUGAUCAGGAUCUUUAUAACUAUCAGUGAUUUCUCCCUGUUGAUUAAGUCUACAUAAGUCUCUUUGAACUUGGAUUUGACAUUAGAUUAGCAAGUGAUUUUCAGCUGGGAUAUAAGAUCUAUAAAUUGCUGACAAAAGAAACUACAGUUUGACAGCCUUGUCUAAAUUUAGGUCUUUUCCCCCAACUUUUUGUUGGUGAAUUUCAAUAACCCCUCAUGUGCUAAGUUAGGAUCUGUCAUGGACCUUCAUAUUUUUUACUUGUUUUUCCCUCUCCCUCUUCUCAGCUUUCCCUCUUGACUUUCUUUGGCUGUCUUUUUUCCUUCUUUCCAUAUUCAUUAAAUAACUUUGAGUUAGCCUUUGCAUUGGAUAUAAUGCAAAGGAUAUAUAAAGAUGAAUAAGACAAUUUUUGUCCUUUAAACAAAAUUAAUGAUCUUAAAUUCAUUUACUAAAGAAAUUUCAGGAAGUGCUGUUUCUGUAGAUCUUUGCUUUAAUAAGUGUUAGAUACAACACAUAUACAUAAUGAUUCAAAGUGUUUAGCAAAUACUUUUUCCUAUUCAAAAGUAAUUUGAAUUAACAAGAAAUUUUUCAUCUGUUGGAUGGCCAUUCAUAUUUAUUCUAUUGCCCAUUGUAUGAACUUUUAUAUUUUUGCCAUAUAAUUUGUGUACAUUAUUCUUAGAGAUAUGUAUCCGUCUUAUUUUCAUCAGGAAGCCUAGUGAAUUCUCAUGUCAGGCAUAAUAGCAUUAACGAGAGCUUGAUAGGAUUAAUGAAACUUAUAUAUUUGUGUCUCUAAUGGAGAUUUCCUCCCUUUUAAUGCCCAGAUGUGCCAGGUGGUGCCAGUGCCAGCUAAUCACCUCCCUGUUGGCAGCACCGUGAACACUGUGCACCUGUCUUCAGAUGGCACUUAAAGCAGAGAAGCCUGCUGUGUGGCUGUGGGAGUCAUCAGAGAGGUGGCAGUGGAGGUUUGUUAUCGACCCAAUCAUUACAUCGCUACCCAAGAGUUGGAAACUUCCUGUGUUGCCCACGCUGGUCUCAAACUCCUGGACUCAUGGGAUCCUCCCACCUUGGCCUCCCAAAGCAGUGGUAUUACAGGCAUGAGCCAUUGCACUGGGCUCCUGUUUAGUUUUAAUUUUAAAACACCUCAAGAGUCAGAUAAUUCAGGGAAAGACCAUGCAAGGCUGUUACUGAAGAAAGUGCUACGAGUCUGUUCUAGACAUGGCUUGCCUAGCACUGAGCAUCCUUCCUCACUUCUAAGUGAGAAUUUUCCAGAUCUGUGCAUUGGGGUCCCCCAAGAAAGAGGCUCAGUCCUGAUGUACUGUUUCCUGUAUACUGCAUGCUCACCCCCCAAAACCACAUGGUUAAUCCAGAUCCAGCCCCUGCUUUCUUAGUUAUGAGGCUUCUCAUGGCAAAGCAAUAAAAAGCAAGUUUUCAAUGAUAAAGUCAUGUCUGAAAACAUGUUAAUUGUCAUCAUCUUUGAUGUUGUAACCUGAGCUAUAGAUUGUUGGGAUGCACACGUUACUCUUUUAAGCUUAUGUGCCUUGAUUCUGUCUACAUCAUUUCUUUCUUUCUGAACUGUGAACUGCGCUAAUUUGAUGGGGUUUGCUACCUGAUUGGGGUCCUGACCUUAGCCUUCAUCUUGCCAUAUACAGUUUGUUUUUGUCUCCAUCAGCGUUAGCUCUGUUCAACGCCCUUGUGGAGUCCAGGACUUAGAGAGAGGAUCUCCAAGCAGAAGCCCCCAGCCCACGUGAGAACAGGGAGACCCUUGUGCCCUUAACUGUUUUCCAUAGUACUGCCCAGCCUUGUACACUCUGGCCCAAAUGUUCCUCACCUUUGGAAGACACAGAACUUCUUUCAAAACCAUUGAAAUAUCGAGAUCAUUUCCGCAGAAAGAAAAUGUAAUUUAAGUUGAUUUUGGCAUCUGAGGAGGUGUAUGAUCUCUACAAUAAGAACUGCAAAAACACUGCUCAAAGAAAUCAGAGAUGAUACAAACAGUGAAAAAAUAUCCCAUGCUCAUGGAUAGGAAGAAGCAAUAUUAUUUAAAUGGCCAUGCUACUCAAAGCAAUUUACAGAUUCAGUGCUAUCCCUAUCAAACUACCAAUGACAUUCUUCACGGAAUUAGAAAAAACUAUUUUAAAAUUCAUACAGAACCAUAAAAGCCCAAAUAGCCAAGGCAAUCAAUUCUAAGCAAAAAGAACAAAACUUGGAGGCAUCAAUUUAUGUGACUUGAAACUACACUACAGGGCUACCGUAACCAAAACAGCCUGGUACUGGUACAAAAGCAUACACAUAGACCAACAGAACAGAAUAGAGAGCCUAGAAAUAAUGCCACACACCUGUAAUCAUCUGAUCUUUGACAAAGUUGACAAAAGCAAUGGGGAAAGGACUCCCUAUUCAAUAAAUGGUGCUGGGAUAACUGGGUAGCCACAUGCAAAAGAUUGAAACUGGACCCCUUCCUUACACCAUAUACAAAUAUCAACUCAAGAUGAAUUAAAGAAUUAAAUGUGAAACCUCAAACUAUAAAAAUCCUUCAAUAUAACCUAGGAAUUAGCAUUUUUGACAUAGGCCCCAGCAAAGAUACUUUCUUCUUAAUACCUAGGAAGUGCCCAUUUACAAAAAUAAUGUCCUUCUUUGCUGACUUUGAAAAUAUACUCGGAUAAAACAGAGUAGGUCUUAUUAAUUGCAUAUGUUCACAUUUCAAAAUGUAAGUAGCCUUAUGUAAACCCCUAAAUAGCUAGUGACAUGAAUUUUUCAUUUCUUACAUGUGAAUAAACUUAAGCUGUACAUAGUUAAGAAGGCUUGGAACAAUUCAUAGAGAUUAUGACCUGUGAAGAACUGGCCAUCCAGAUAGGUCCCCACCACAUGCCACUGACCUUAUCUCCACCAUCACUGACUUCUUUUUAUGUUUAGAGGAUCCAGAUGCUCAGUGUCAUCUUCGAAGAUGCCAGGUCACAUUGGCAAAGGCCGCAAGAACUGAUAUGAAAAACCAGAUGCAAUGAAAACCGUAACUGUACAUGAGACAGAACUGCCCAAGGUCAAGCUGGGGCAUUCUGUGUGAAGAGGAAGAUGCCUUGGCAGAAGAUCACUUCAUCAUGACCAGGGCAUCAGAAGAAGGGGUCGCAGAAUUUAUUCAUGAUUCAAUAAGUAUGCACCACCUGUCUGGAAGUGAGUUAGCAUAAAACAUAAGUUCAGUAAGAAUACAAGAAUGAGUGAGUGAAUUAAGAAAUGAAUGGAUUGGGAGUUACCAUUGGCCACACACCGCUUAGACAGUAGAAUAUCUCAGCCAGGUAGAAAGAAUGGAUCAUGGUGGCCCAGCAAAGCAUGUACUUCCUGGGGCAGAUUGUGGCAUCAUUAUCUCCAACAUCUCUGACAAUUUCUGUUUCAAGUUAAGGGCUGGUCAGCUUCUAUUCUUAGAAACACUUUCUUUACACAUGUCAGUAAAUCAAAUCUUGUCUUUAGAGACAAUCCAUCUUGUUAAACUAACUUUGUUUGGGUCUACCCUGACCCUGUUUGUGCCACCCCUGCCCCCAUACAUAUAAUCAGUUUUGUCUGUAGUUAUAAUUUGUCCAUAAUUUGGAAAAGAGAAGCCUAAAAAAGUUCACUCUAGACACUUUCAGCUAGGAACAAACUUAUAUGUGAAAAUAAUUAAAAUGUGGGGAGUGAAGGUUUAUAGUGGAACUAUUUACAGACCCUCAAACACUGCACAACAGUUGAAACUUUGCUGUAGUGACUUCAUUCUCUUAGUUGUCAAUCUGUUUUUCUUCUACAUUUCUUCCACAUACUUCUGGUAUAUUUUUAAUAAAGAUUUUUCAAAAAGAUAAAUAUGGCUUAUAUUUUCCCAGCUCAAAAUUCCCCUGAAGGCCUCCGAAGCAGUAAAUAGUAGUGCUU
rnacentral:lncRNA from 1 species